rnacentral:rRNA from 1 species
AAGUCGAACGGUAACAUGAGAGCUUGCUCUUGAUGACGAGUGGCGUACGGGUGCGUAACGCGUAUGCAACCUACCUUAAACUGGGGGAUAGCCCGGAGAAAUUCGGAUUAAUACCCCAUAGUAUUAUUGAAUGGCAUCGUUUAAUAAUUAAAGAUUUAUUGGUUUAAGAUGGGCAUGCGUAAGAUUAGCUAGUUGGUAAGGUAACGGCUUACCAAGGCAACGAUCUUUAGGGGGUCUGAGAGGAUGAUCCCCCACACUGGUACUGAGACACGGACCAGACUCCUACGGGAGGCAGCAGUAGGGAAUAUUGGUCAAUGGGGGCAACCCUGAACCAGCCAUGCCGCGUGGAGGAAGACGGCCUUCUGGGUUGUAAACUCCUUUUAUAUGGGAAGAAAUAAUCCUUGCGAGGAUAGAUGACUGUACCAUAAGAAUAAGCACCGGCUAACUCCGUGCCAGCAGCCGCGGUAAUACGGAGGGUGCAAGCGUUGUCCGGAAUUAUUGGGUUUAAAGGGUGCGUAGGCGGCCUAUUAAGUCAGAGGUGAAAUCCCACAGCUUAACUGUGGAACUGCCUUUGAUACUGGUAGGCUUGAGUAUGGUAAAGGUAGGCGGAAUUUAUGAUGUAGCGGUGAAAUGCAUAGAUAUCAUAAAGAACACCAAUUGCGAAGGCAGCUUACUAGGCCAUAACUGACGCUGAGGCACGAAAGCGUGGGGAGCGAACAGGAUUAGAUACCCUGGUAGUCCACGCCGUAAACGAUGAUUACUCGAUGUUGGCGACAGACAGUCAGCGUCCAAGCGAAAGCGUUAAGUAAUCCACCUGGGGAGUACGCUGGCAACAGUGAAACUCAAAGGAAUUGACGGGGGGUCCGCACAAG